UACAGAAUCAGAGGGUAAGGUUAAGGCGCUUGUCAGGUCAACAGUUUCAUAUGAAUCUCUUUCUUCAGAAGCUUCUAAAUUCCUAUUCUUCCUGUUCUAGGAUCUGUUGCAGAAGAAGGAGCGGGAUUAUAAGCCGAAGAUGGAGCUGGAUCUUAAGCUUCAGAUAGAAAGUAUACCAGAGAGGCGGGAUUAGGAUCUAAAGCAGCAGAAAGUCAGUAGUAAGGUGGUGUUGUGCUCAAUUCCAUUUUCUGCGCUAAUAGGAGGUGGAGUUAUUGUUUCAAGAGCUUGAUCCUCAUAAAGAUCUUCCGCUGGGCCUGGAAAUGAUGUUUUUCACUUCCAUUCUUAAAGGAGAGUUCUCUUUGGCGCUCGAUCAACAGAGUAAGGAGAAGAAAAAGAAGCUGGUAAUUCAGAGCUUAAGUCAUCAUCAGGAUAAGGGUCAACUGCUGGAAAGUAUACAAUAAGUCCGCUGCUGUUGAAGAUGAAGUUACUGGAAAGAAAGUCAACAAGAGAAUCCGCUGUGGAAGGUUCCGUUACUGGAAAGUCAACAAGUUACUUGCACAACAAAGCCAUUCAUUCUGAAUUCCAUUAUGACCACUAUAAGUAAGCGCAUCAAAGCCAGUACUUGCUUCGGCCCCUUCACUUUCCAGAAAGAAGGGAGAACUUUCCAGAAAGAAGGGAUUUGAGUUUGAGUAUAUAAGCAGGGUAGGUAAUCCUCAUUUAGUAUAUGCAAUGAUAGCUAAAUUAAUAACAUAUGUGGGCGAGAUAUAUUUUCAAUUUCAAGGUAUUAAUUGCAGAAUGGAAUUGAAAAGCACCAGAUCCAUACUUAUGAAGUCACAAGACUUGGUCAUAACUUGUUAUAACAAGAACCACUUGAGCUUUGAACUCGCUACCGCCGUGUAUUAACUCGCUACCGCCGAAAGCUUGACUUGCUCAUAUUAUUAUGUACUCAUGUUUCCUCCAACUAAUGAAUUAUGUAGUUCUCUUGCCUUUCUAUGCGUUUGUAUACGUAGCUUGGUCGUUAGCAGUUACUUGGCCGUCUGACUUAGUAGCUUGGUCAUUAUACUAAGCUUGGCCCGGUGUGGCGUCGUGUCGAGUAUGAACAUGGCUUGAAGUUACCUUUAGAAAGAAAGGGCUGCUUUAGCUGCCGUGGAAAAACGCUCUUACCUGCCAGCCCGUCCUUUUAUUCCACAACUGAUUCUUCUGGUUCAGACCCAUUUAUCUAUACGGGUAAACUCGCUGACGCCGAAAGAGCUUACACAGGUCUUCCUUAACUUUACCCUAGGAAUUAGCAAAUUCGGAAAAGUCAUAAGAGAGUCUUUCCUUUCAUUAGGAUAUUCUGGCACAACCUUAUUCCCCGGAAUAGGGUACUUACUUAAUAAUCUGAUUCUAUCUCAAAACCGACUUUAGAUUCUUCCAUUGCUAUCAGCACUAGGACUUUCAGCUGCUAAUAGAAUACUUUAUAUAUCUGGAUCAAGCUCUUCUGUAACAAGAAAAACAAGGGAAUCUGACUUAGUUGCUUUUACCUCUGUUCCUUACUCUGUGGUAACAUUUAGGUUUUUUCUUUCCUAAACUGCUAGGUAGCUCUAUUCUUCCCCUUUGAAAGAAACUGGGGCUUUAGCUUGAAGCUGAUUCCGAUGAUUCCUUGACCUAAUGGGACUGCCUUUGGGGCGUAACAUUCAAAUAUAUGUAAACGGACUUCCUUUCUUUGCGGACGAAUACUGGUCUUGCAGAGCCUCUAACUAACUAUACGCAAGCUCUAGCCCUUCUCUUCCUUACUUUCUCUUUGCAGGCACAAUGAAACUAGGACUUUGAAAGCUUAACUACAUCUGAUUCGGCUCUUUUUUCCUUAUGGGAUUGGUGUACAUACAAGACUGAUUGAGAAGAAUAAUGAGCUGCAAUAAAAGAAUACGAUCUUUCCACAGAGAAGUGAACGACUCCGCAGAUCUUUGAGGUAAGAAGACGGUGCUAGCGAAGUGAAUUAACUGGUUGACUCAAUUUCUAAGAGCGGAGCAGGGGAAGAAAGAGAGAGUUGAUUCUUUUUAUUAUUAAUAAAGCAUAUAGAGCAGCCUUCACCAUUCCAUUAAAGAAAGAAGAUCAUCUCUCUUCCAAUAAAAAGAGAACGCACUGGCUGACGCACAACGUAGUAGUAGUCGCUUGGUGUAGUUACUUGGCUAAUAGUAGUAACUUGGCGCCCCCUUGCAGUUGCUGAUCUACCAGUUGCUUCCGCCAUCUUUCGAGUCCUCUCUUUUUCUUUCCCGACCUCCCCACUCUUAAAGCAUGCUCUCUCGGAUACAAAACAGGAACAGCUUCCUCUUGAUACCCUUACUUUUCGCCAACACCAGCAGGAAUUGAUUAUUCUUACCUAGACCAAUUGAAUAGAAUAGAGGGGCACCCCUCAUCCGCUCAAGUGCGCAACUCUAAACUCGUCACUUUCCCCUUACUCUAAUUGAAAGCCCUUGCGCUAGACUCAGGUACUUAAAUGAAUUCCCGUUGCUGAUUCUUGCUUUAAAACAAACUUAUUACUUGCAAAGCCGUUAUCUUACUUUAUUCUUUUAUUGCCUAAAGCUUAUUCGGUGAGCUCAGUUAGCGAGUUAAUUGCAAGUUAGGAGUAAGGCUUCUAUGAAAGGGUGUGGUGGAGAACAAGCGGCUCUUGGUUCCUAUCUUCAACAAGCAAACGAGCUGUUAGAUUCCAGAAUUCUAUUUGUUUUGCUUGCACUCAAUUCUCUUCUUCAAGUGGAGAGUUUAGAGUCUGGCGCUUCUGGCUUAUAUUAGCUUUGCACUCAAUUCUCUUUGUGAGAGCCAGAACGGAAAGUCGAGGCACCAUAAUUUACCGCCUCGCUAACAAGGAGACUAUACUUAUUGACUUAGCGCUUCCGCCGGUCAAACAUAUCAUUCAAUCUUUCCAGCGCCAUCAAGGGAAAGUAUAUAAUCAAUUGAACUGUUAACUCCCUUCCCGUAAACGACUCCCUUCCUUCUAACCCUGCUUUCAGGCCAUCUUGAGAGCUAAAGUAAAGCAUGAACCUGAACUUGGAAUUUGAUGAUUCUCUGGUCGCCUUGAAUUGAUUUGUUGCUGCCGCACUAAAAUCCAUGUGAUUACGCUGCACCUACUAAACAAGCUAACCGAACAAGCUAACCGCCGAACAAGUAGUUAAGUACGAAUUCCACUCAAACUACAAGAUCUUAAACUGAAUCAGCAGGAUCGAGAUCAGGAUCCGGGUUCGGGUUAAGGUGCCGAGAAGCAUAAGCAAUAUCAGAACUCACUCUUAUAUUUCUAUUGUAUUUUUAUUGUAUAUAAGAACUAACGUGCCCUUAAUUAAUGCCGGCAAUGAGCUUACAAGUCGUCUGUCUGGUGAGGAGAGGUGGAUUCGGGAAACAAUGAAAUACCGGAGGGGUUUUCUCAAAUGUCAGAAUGGAACUAAGUAGUAACACCUCUGCACUAACUUGAAGUAGAAUUCUGCUGUUCGAGACUGUUCUGUUGCUUGUGUCCUUCUAUCAGGCUCCUAUAUUUAUUGCAAUAAUUCUUAAUUGAACUUAGCUUAUACUUAUUCCUAUUCAUAUACUUAUACAGAGUGUGAAGUCAACUCUAAUACUAAUUCGAUUUCUAAGGUACGCUAAAAGAAAGAUUAAGUGAAAGCCAACAAUGAGAGAGAGAGACCCCUAUGGUUAAUUAGGGUAGUUACGCACUUCUUUCUAUGAAACCCCUACCGCUCAUUCUUAUGUUUAUGCCCAUGCCCCCUAAAGUAUAAGUAAUAUAUGCUUGUCUAAUAUAUGCUUGUCUCUGACUCUAUCUAUCUGAUUUUAUGCCCUUAGCUGCUACUUAAUAUCUUUAUUCCGCUGAUUUUAUGCCCUUACCCCUUAGCUGCUACUUAAUAUCUUUAUGGAGCCCUUAACCCUUACCUUUCUACUUACAGCUGCUUCUUUCUGAUCUUGCUUGGUACAGCUUAUUUGUAGUGGGCAUGAGAUUAGCAUUCCGCUUCUAUGGUAGAUGAAACUUCUUCUUCUUGUCCCGCAGUUGGUUGCUCCUUGGUAAACUCCUUACGCUCGCAGGAAUAGAGCAAACUCUGUUCCCUUUCCCUAACUAGCAAGUAUUUACUUCUGCACUUAGUCUUAGUUAUGUCAUAAAAUUCUAUGAAAUUAAGCUUUCCAUCCUGUUGUAGUGGAAGAACCCUUGACUGUGGAAGAGCCUUUGACAGGGCAUAUACUAUUGAAUCUCCUAAAACUCUCCUCUGGCUUACCAUAUUGUAUUACAUAUUCUAAUGCAAUGCGCUAGAUCUACCCCAUAUUCAAUACCGGCACCGUUGUGGUCCAAGUAAACUAAGUAAAUCAUAGGCUUGUGUUGUCGUAUCUUUUGGUGCUAGUGUUGACUACGAUAGAAUAAUAGAAGAAUCCGAGGUUGACUUACCUUCUACCCCCGAGUAUUGGAAUGAAACAAGUAAGUAGCAGUCGGGUCUGGUAUAGUCUCUAAGCUUUCCCUUAUAUUAAAGCAGUCAGCGAGGGAUUAGAUGCGAGGCAGGAGCUCUGUUUCCCGGGGACAAGCAACGACGAGCCAAGUCGACAACACAGAAUAAAACAAGGUAGUGAAAGAAUGCAACUAUCGGAGGGCAACUAUCCCUAGAAUAAGAAUAAGGGACCGGUCUUCCUACAACUACAGAUGAAACUACUCGUAUACUUGUUUAAGUGCUCGUUAAGUCUAGGAAAACUGGGCUACUGCCACCAAGUCCAGUGAAAAGUAUUCGAAUACUGAGGUCGGUUCUACGCUCUACUAACCAUAUCCUGUAUUCUGUGUUUGAUUCCGAGAAGCACUAGUGAAAGUCCGAAAAGCGCCGGUUGUAUCCUUUCCAGUAGUAGCUCCAUCCUUGCUAGCAGUGAUUCGAUUCUAAAUAGUUGUAGGUUAAGCCUGUUACUUACUUGUUUCGUUCUCAUAGGUAGCAGUGUAAGCCCCUGUGUCUACAGUGUAGGUCACCCUAGUUUGAUUCUUUAUGGGGUGCUUUGGGCCUUAUAAGCACUAGUUCAAUCUUUUUCUCAGUCGCUCCAUUCCCUUUUUCUUGUUCGAUUCCUGUUAGUAUUGAUUGAGUUCUCCUCUGACUGUAGUGGGUGAAUUCUUGUUAUCAUCAGUUCUAUUCUAUUCUUGUAUUUGCUCCUGUCACUACUGACUUUGAUUCUGAGUUUCCUGUCUCUGGGCUUAUGACUUACUCCUAACUCUGAUUCUAAAGCUACUGAUUUAAAGCCUUCCACUCCUUUCUUGCAAUCAAGUAUGAAUGACCUGGAUCAUACUACUAUUAUUAUAUUCUUAGAUGCACUAGCCUCGUCUACUAGGGAACCCUAACCCCAUAGGUAUUCUAGUGGUAAUACUAACUACUUGGAGUUAUAUCAAUAAACUACCCAACAAAACGGGAAUUCAAUCACUAACGAGAAGACUUGAAAUCAGAACCAAGAGAACAACUAUAAACUAAGGGCAGCUUUAGAUGGCUACUGCAAAAUCCGAACUCAUAAUAUUGGAACAACCCCCACAUUGCUAGAAUCAAACUAAUCCUUUGGAACUAGUUAAGUAGACUGCCGCCAAUUACUUAAGGGCACUUAGGAUUUCUCUAGUAUGCCAAUACCUUCACUUGGAAUGCGACUAUACUAUUAGUUGAACACUGCCCCAAGGAAUCACGCUCACUACUAUUAGAUUGAAUUACUAACUAUCAGAUUAAGCUACGACUAUGACUAAUGCUAAUCAGGAUUGAGCUAACGCCUAAGAGCCCGCCCUACCUGACUUUUGUUCUAUGUCUACUGAUCCCAAAGCUGACUCCCCUUACUUGUAUACUUGCUUCUUUGCGUUAGUCUACCUCUCUUGACUCUUAUUCUUGGACUCAUGUCAGUGGUAUUCUAUUGAUUGAUGAGAUAUAGCGUAUACUGUAAUAGAAUCCGAACUCACUGAUAAUAAGAAUGCUACUAGCUUUCAUUUCUUUGUUUUACCUAUUGGCCUGUAACUACUUACUUAUAGUAUUUGACUCACUUCUUUCACUCCGCUUUUACUGGCGCUAAUUCGAAUAUUGCCCCUUCCAUGCCUACCUAUGUUUUGUCCCUUCCAUUACUAUGUGCGGGGUUCAGCCUGCCCACCUCUACUGUAUUGAAGUAUUCCCGUACAGCUUUUCGUUCUACCUAUCCGGAUUUGCUUUCUGUAACACUGGGCACUGAUCCUUACUUGGUGCACAAGAGCCUAAAAAUGCUAUGAUCGAUUGCAAGCCUACUCUUCCUCUAUCUCAUUCUCACUAUCCGGUCCCCUAUUCCUUAACUAAUGAACCCAACCCUCGCUUCUUAUGUAACUAUAUUAGAAUAAGAAAAAGCAUUAGAAGUACUCACUGCAGAGUUAAAGCAAAGGAAGUAAGGCUGCAGCUAGGCAUGUUUGUUUCAAAGCAAUGAUCCGUAUCCGCAGUUUUCUUUUCAAUAAAAGCAAGGUAGGGUAUAGCCUUGUUCUCAGUAGUUUUAUUCCCAGCAAGUGGAGAUGAGCCCUCUAUAAGUAAUAGUUUGGUUCGUUCUUGUGCUUAUGAGUUUGAUUACCUCCGAUCUCUUAGAUGAAGGAGUGUUAGAGACAACCGCGGCAGUGAGGUCAGUGAUGUCCGUUUUUGAAAUAGUAGUCGCAGGCUAGGAGAUAGGAAUAUAGGAUUUUACUCAAGGGCGGACUAGUAUAAAGAAGGGACAGUCUCAUAAGCAAUAAAGUGAGCUUUCAUGUUCAGAGCAGUGCGAGAGAAUUCCAGUUUGGUAAGAAGUGAAGCCUUUCAGCUAGUAAAGUAAGCCUAAAAGAAAGAAAAGUCAGAUCUGUAGUGUCGGUGAGCAAGGGCGGAACUCACCUCCUGAGUAUAAGAAUCAAAAGAACGAGUUUCAUCCUGCAUUCUAAGUUUACAGUUCUCAAGUAGUAAGUUGGUUUCCGACUUAUUAGCUUAAUGCUUGGAAGCGCUCGUUGCUUUCUUUUUAUCAGCAGUUCGGUUCCUGGAGUUAAUAGUGAAAGGAAAGCCCCGCGUCCGGGUUAAAGUGUCUCGUUGCUGGUAGGUCCAUUCUUUGGCUUAUGGGCUUAGGUCUGCUACUUCUGGGCGUCGGUCUGUUGGUAGAACAGCUCAUUCUCAUUUCAUUAGUAAAGUUGCAAACCACUCAUUCUCAUCAGAUCAACCACAUCAGUCUCAUCAGAUCAACCACAUCAGCAUAUGUAACGAAACUACUAAACUAUAUUGCAUUGCUUGUAUCAAGGCACGAAGCUACCCCACAGUAUUGCUUGUAUCAAGGCGAAGGGAGGUCAACUCUUGUAUUUGUUUAUAACAAAAAGAAUCGGAGCAGACCCACUAUAUUACUCUGGGCGUACUAAUUCUCUUACUUGACUCUUGCUUUUGAACCAAUGAACUGACUUUGGAAUCUAUUUAUUCUCUGACUUUGCUUCGGAACCAAUUAUUAUAUAACAAUUCAUUAUAUUACAAUUAUUCUCUGACUUUGCUCUUGAAACAAUUCUGCUAUUACUUGGCAACCAAUGAUUCUAUUACUUACUUAGUUGUAAGUUGCUUGUACUUACGGAGUUUCUUUCCUGUGUUUGCCCACCUUGCAUAGAUAUAGAGAACAUCUAUUCUUGUGAGCAGUGGUUCCAUUGUGCAUCGACCACAGACGAGGGCACGGGCAACUGGGCUGGAGGUCGGGAUGCCAAGAUUCAAGGUCAAGUUAGGUAAGAAGGGGGAAGGUCACUUAGUCCUCAAUAAAGCAAGGUCAGCGUCAGCUGCUGGCUCAUUCUGUCAGUAAGUAGAACAAUUCUGAUUCUUCAAAUAGCUAAGCGCAUUCUUCGAGUAACAUAACCAAUUCUCAUAUGUGGGCGGCGCACCUCAGUCUUUUCUUAGCACCAUGAAUUCAGUGAGCGAUCAUUCCACUCUUCUUCAAGUGUGGGGAACCCCAUAGUCUUCGGGUUCUUGGGCGAAACAACAUGCAUUGGGCUCCGUCUUCGUUCGGUCGUGCACCUACAAAUUCUUUGCUAUGGUCCAGCAACUCUGUCUUCGGGCGGAAACAACGAAGGUCUUGGUCGAAACAACGGUCGGUCGUGCACACAAUCAUUCUUCGGGUACCGUAGCUCAUGCAUCAAAGGUUCAUUGGACAUCCUUAGCUUCGGGGGCACUUUGAACAAGACAUCAAACCCAUUCUCUUUUUAGGGUCACUCAGGGUUCGGUAGUAUCUCGUUCAUUGUUCGUUCGGUCGGUCGUGCAUCGAUGGUCCCCGGGCUUAGAAGGUAGUACCUCGUUCAUUGUUCGUUCGGUCGUGCACAAGAGCUAUCGUUCAAUGAAAAACAAUAUCGGUUUUUGGAUCACAAAAGACAAAUAACUUGCUGUUUUUGGACCACUUUAGCUAAUUAACAUAGAAAGACAUUUUAUUAUACGCUAAUUUCAUAAGGCAUUGAAGUAAUAGAUAUCGAAAUGAAAGCAAGGGUAGUAAGCCUGUUUGUCAGUAUAGAGAUUCUUUUGGGUAGUUUGUUUCAAUCUGGUAGUUAGCAGGGGUAGAGUGAAAACAAGGGAAUGGGAAUGCAAUAGGCAACUUGUUUACUCGCUACCGCCAUAAACACAUCAGAAGUUAUAACACAUACGGAACAACUACCUUAUUCGUUUUUUCUUAUGACAGUUGCCUUUUUGUAGUAGCUUGGCCAGGUAUCCCACUCGAAAAAGAAACAGAUCUUAUACCACCCAUAGGCAGAAGAAGUAAGCAAGCUCUUAUAGGCGGGAGAGAGGGAUCCUCCUAUAGUCCGCUCUUAUAGGCGGGAGAAAGGGAUCCGUCAAAGGGUUCUAAUUUCUAAAUGAGAAGAAAACAACAACAAUAACAUAGAGAAUUUGGAAAUCAAUGUGAAAUCAAAGUAGGUGAUUGAGAAAGUAGCUGGUGUGAAAUCAAAGUAGGUGAGAAAGUUGCUGAUGUGAAAGUAGGUGAUUGAGAAAGUAGCAGGAAGACAUGGGAAUAAGGGUAUCAUUUGAAAAGCCUAGACAAACAAGAUAUGCCCUAUUUGCAAGAUGGAACACCUGUUGAUAUGGUCUUCAACCCAUUAGGAGUACCAUCACGAAUGAAUGUGGGACAGAUAUUUGAAUGCGAGCUCUGGUUAGCGGGGUAUCUGCUAAAGAUACAUUAUGGAAUAGCACCUUUUCGGGGUAUCUGCUAAAGAUGCAUUAUGGAAUAGCACCUUUUGAUGAGAGAGAAGAGCCAGAGGCUUAGAGAAACACCCAAGAGAGAAGAGCCAGAGGCUUAGAGAAACCCAACAAGUGUUUUCCUUAUUUGGAUUUCUGAAGCUAGUAAGCAAACAAAUAAUCCAUGGUUUAACCCAACUAUCUGGGAAAAGCAUAAUUCUUUUAUGUAAGAACAGGUUGUUCCAAAGGAUUUCCAUAUUCUAUAAGGAACAGUGCUCUAUUUCUCUUAAGGAAUAAAGUGCGAUAUUUCUCUUUCAUUUAGUAAUUCAUAAAGUAGAUGAGAAAAUCCAAUCCAUGGACGUGGACAUUAUGCACUUGUUACUCCUUAGAGGAAGAGCGAAGCAAAGGGUACAACGAGUAGGAUAAAUGGAAGUUUGGGCUCUAGAGGGAUUUGGUGUUGCUCAUAUUUUACAAGAGAUGCUUACUUAUAAAUCUGAUCAUAUUUUCGCUCAUAAAUAAGUACUUGGUGCUACGGUCAUUGGAGGAAUAGUAUAUAAUCCCGAAGAUGCUCCCUUUUCGAUUGCUCGUUCUAGAACUUAUCUCUUUAUAGCUAUAUUACAGAAGAAUUUCCUUGUAUCUGAGAAGAACUUACUUUUUUAUAGGGAAGGCUAAAUUCAUCAUAAUAUCGAUUCUAUGAUUGACCGGUAUAAACAUCAACAACUUCGAAUUGGACUAGUUUCUCCUCACUCAACAAAUGAAGGCCGAACUCAACUAAGGGCCAACCAAACCUAAUUUGACCUAAUAGAGAGAGAGAUAGUUGGGGAGGUGACAAAGCCCUAUACCAUAUAAUUAGAAGACCUAUAAACCGGUAUAAGACCAAUAAACCAGAAAAAGAUGGAUUGUUUUGCUCUGGGCCCAUACAAAAAUAAGUGGAAUUUAUGCUUGUGGAAUUUCUCGAGUGAUUGGAGCUGAUAAAGAAAGAAGAUCCGAAAUCAUGUGAACAAUGUGGGGUGGAAUGGAAUUAGUGGAUUCUCUGAUACGAAGAUCUCAAAUAAAUAGGGAUACGCAUGUCCUCAUGUGUUGUAUUUGAAACGUAUUCCUAGUCAUAUCUAGAAUCUUUAAGAGAAAAACAAACCCCUUAAGCAAUUAGAAGGCAUAUAGACUCGACUUGAACGGAAACUGGUCAUUCUUAUUAUCUAUCUUCUUUACCUUCCUAAGAUCCUUACUCUCCUCUUUGAGUAGUAACUUGUCUAUGCCCCAUAACUCUACUUUAGAACAGAAACAUCUGCUCUUGCUUCUUUUUCUUCUUCCUCGACCUCAACUAUAACAGAACUAGAACUGUUUUAAGCCUCUGAUCCUUCUCCUUAUCCUUUAGAUUAUAUAGCGGAUUCUCAGGAUUCUUCUCUUGUCGCGACGUGAAUGAAAUCUCUCUAUUGCACCACCGCUUCGAUAUAAGGCUAUUAACCAAACACCGCUUACUUGAAGUAGCUCCAUUAUCGCAAAUACAGUUUUCGUUUCUUUUUGACUUGGUAUAGAUUUAUUUGAGUAAGCUAACACUCCACAAAGGAUUGAAUCUUUCUCGUAUGAUUGACACCUCGCUGCAAACCCUGUAUUGACUUUCUUUCGCUUCCAAGUAAGUAAGAUCUUAUGCCCCACCCAAAGAACAAACGAAACUAUCCUUUCGCACAGCUCGCACAGCUUAUACAGCAGAUUCUGGGCAUUCGGCUUCUAUAUAUCUGAGUCUUGCUUCCGAGCACAUAACAAGAGUUAAGGGAGGAAAGAGUGAAAGGGCUGGUAGAGUUCAGGGAGGAAAGAGUUCACACUUGAGAAAGCUGGGUACCAUGGUGAGAAAGAAAGGUACCUUGGUUAGAAAGAAAGAUGGGUACCAUGUUUAGAAGGGAGGAACUGAUCCCACGGAGGCACUCAUAGGUAAAGAGAGAGGAGUGAAAAGGGAAAAAAAGGGAAGGCAUAAAAAGAUAUACUCGAAUUAAGGAGCCUAGAAAAACACUUAUGACUCAUGGCUCUAUUCUCUAACCGCUGACAUAUUACUUGGUUGUUCCCUUGCUAAGGUUAGCUUGGCUGUUUCCUGUUCUCCAGCUUCAGAUCUUGUUCCAUCUUCUAGUUCUCUACCACUUGCUUUGACUUCGACUGAAGAUGAGUAUUCGGAUCCAAUCCAGCAGAUGCUGAUUCCACUGGCUUAAACUCAUUCUGAAAAAGGAGCUUAUGUAACUCCACCCUCAUUGAUUAACACAAGCAACCGACCCGAACUCGACUCUCAAGUCACUUAUUGUCUUCCCACACCUCCACUAUAGUCACUAUUAACUGAAUUAGGCUCAUCUACUGUUGUUGCUUGGCCCUUCCUAGACUUUGUAUUCCAAGGCUGUUGACAUCAUUUUCUCGCUGAGUAAGCAAUGUCUUUCCCGUUCCGGUACUCAAUCAAAUGUCCUUGCAUUUUGGGCUUCUAAGGUCAUAAAUUGUUAACUGCCUCGACAACAUGUUUAAGGUUCACAGGAAGGACAGAAGUUGGAAAACUACUUGGAGUCAAAGUGGAACUUCCCCACCAGUCUUCAUACCCAUUGAAGUUAGGGCAUAUGGCCGAAAGGAUCAAUGCGUUAUUGGAGGAGUGGAUAUGAAAUAGGAUGUAGGAUGGGAUGGGCUUUCAACAGAAGGAGCUGACCCCUAAGCUAUCUGGAUGGAAAACUUGCCCUAUAACAAACUCUUCCUUAUCAACGGAUCCCUGAAAAAGGAUUGAACUGGAUAUAACGGGGAAUGCAUGAAAAGUAGAAGGCAUGGAACAGCUUCUAUUUCGAUAGUUAGGGGUAUUAUAGUCCGGGACAGAAAUGGUACUCUUUAUAGUACUACCAGUCUAAACUUUCACUAGCAUAUUAUCCAGUGGUACAGUAACUACACGAGAACUGGCUGGCCAUCGAAGGUAAGAGCAAAGGAACAGAACUCGGCUUACAAUAGGAUAUAGAGGGGAUUAGAGAGAGAUAUAUAACGGGCUUGGCUUGCUCAUAUCAUCAAAAAGGGUUUUCUGGCUUUAAGGCUUGAUCACAUCACAGGCCUGCUUGCCCAUAAUGAAAAACACCUCCCGCCUUCCUUGUUCAAGUAGUUAAAGAGUGUUGGGGCUUAGUGAAAUCAAGUUUGUGGAGAAAGAUAUCCUUCCAAGAUGUUCCACCCAGCAACACAACACUAUUCUACGGCUAGAUUUGCGAGACAAGAUGGAAAGCUUACAAUACUCGAUUUGCGAGACAAGAGAGAAAGCUUAGUGAAGUUGUAAGGUGUCUUUGGGGUCAGGUAGUGACUAUAUCAUUUACAUAUCGAACAGAUCUUACUCUCAAUGGACUCAUUGCGAUAUUACCUAGGAACUUCGAGAAUUCCUUUAUUGGUGAAUUUCUACUUUUAGGCUCAUUCUUGGCUAGAUCAUUUGGUUCACUGCGUCCUUUCGACUUUCGUAGCUACGUUCCCAAUAAAAAGCCGUAAUCCUUCCGUCGUCCUGCUAACUCAAAUAUCAAUCAUACCUUACUACCCCGGCAUGCCCUUUAAGGCAAUAAAUACUAGAGCAACCGGCACUACAGCAAGCUUUAUAGAGUAGGGGAGAUAGUCGUCCACCCAAUGCAGUUGCAUACCAAUGCGGAUAUCUGAGAUGAUACUCUAUCCAUGUUUCAUGAAUGUUUUCAAACAUGCAAUCUGCGUCGUAACCAUAGAGACUUCCGAGAAAUGUCAAUCUAAGUGGAAAUUGGAUGGACGUACACGCUCCAUGAGAAAUGCCCUGUACAUUCAAUACAGCUCUGCAGUCAACACUCCAAAAUCGGGAAAUGCUAAUCCAAACUUCAAGGAUAAAGGAAAUAUGCCAUUCUAAGAAAACAUUAAGAAAUAAUGUAGCUUCCAACGUUUAGAUGUCGGAAGACCUUGAUUUUAGUAUACCUUAUCCGAUCCACCGCCUGCCAACUGACUAUAACCGGCACAGUCAAUUGCUCUGAAAACAGGAAAGCUGAAACUCAAGAAGAUAGAGUACGGAGAACCCGAAGGGACACAUCAAGUCUAACCUUAAUAUAUUCUAUUAUAGACCAUAAAGAUCUUAGCGAAUUCUAUAGCACUUACGUUAGGCACUUGUAUUUUUAUAUGGUCCAAACUCUUCCAUAACCAAAAGAUAAUACUUCGCAGAAGACACCUCCACAACAAUAUACCGGCAAAGAGUAGAUCGCUCGACUCGAUAUAGAGUGGAUCUUAAUGAAAGCUCGACUCGAUAUAUUAAUCAAACCUGUAAGCGUCAGUAAGGGGCGUCUUCUUUGCAGUUUUGAUCCAAGUUCUAGCAAGAAUCCGUUUCACUAUUGACUGUCGUGACCCGAACACGCCCUUCUAUAAGGGUCUAUUUUAGGUCCCUGUAAUUCCAAAUACAAGUUCUACUUUUGGAAUAGUGAGAUGGCACAUACUCUUCAGACGCAGCCUCAGCCCCAGAAAGGGCAUCCCCCCAUUCACAUCGUGUGAAGCCAAAUCGUAAGUCUCAGCCAACCGGACAUACCUUAUUUCCCCAAAACAAAGAGUUCCCCACCUCUUUUUCCCAAAGUGGAACCGGAAGCAUAUGAACAAAAUAAAUAGGAUUAGGAUAGAAAAGCAUUAGUAGUGGAAUCAAGGAAUGGUUAGGAUGAAGUUACUGGGCGGAAUCCCUCCAAAUAUAGGUAACGGGACGACGGACAGUGAUAGGUCUUGGUUCUUUGGUUCGGGCGAGUGGAGGAGAUAACUCUUCUUAAUCAAGGGCAUCGGAAGAGGGCGGCCCAAGAGGUAGCAUUUGAUAACGAUCCAUAUCAAUUGGUAUGAGAGCCUACAGUAAUUAAGUCAGGAAGGAAUGAUCGGAAUGUUUCAGAAUCCUAAAGUGCUUUUACGGGGGCCAAAGAUCCGCUUUGUUUCACCAUCGGGAAACAAUAAAGCUACUUUUUGUCGUUUGAGUUUUGAGUCCUUAUGAGCUAUCUCCGUCUGUCCUAAUCCUACUAAACGUUACAAGAGAUAGAGUUUGCUUAGGAGCACUGAAGCUAACUCUUGCCAGCCUUAUUCCGCUCGCUGGGUAAAUGAGCUAUAGAACUCGCUUCCGUCUCAUAAGGUCUUGGUUCGGAUGGAUGAUGGGAAAGGAACGAGACUGGGAUAGCUUGUCUUUGAUGGCUCCUCAUUGGAACCUCGCUAGCCAGCUGGAGAAGGAUUGAGAGUCGGGCAGGAUAAAUGAAAUGGCUGCCUAAUCCUACUACCUUCCAAGUGGUUAGCCCUUCUAGUUUGAUUGAUUAGAAUAGCAGAUCGUGUCAGCUUUGUCUGAACUCAUUUGUAUUCCAUUCCUUUUUAGUGAUGUAACCCUCGGACCAUUCUUUUAGCAGGCGGCCUUUAGACCGAAGAAUCAUAUUGUUGUUCAGACUGUACCGUAGGGGACUUUUUUUCAAAGAUGCUUUUUGAAAUCACCCAUCGAUUCAAGCACUCGUUAUGCCCUAGACUAGAAGGUUUAGGCUUGGACUCUACAAGAAUGACUAAUAUACCACAAACCCGGAGCCUUCUCUAAUUCAACUGAAUCGACUUGAACAAUAACUUAUUCUUCAAUUGAACAAGGGCUACCCACUAAUCUAAUCUCAGUCGAAUGCUCUUGAAGUUGGAGGUUAUAUAGACUACACCAGGGACCAGGGCACGGUAACAAAGGCAAGAAGAGCCGAGAGUAGGGAAAACUAACCCCUUAAUCAGUGAAUACGAAUCCGGAAAGAACUUCGCUACAGAUGAAUGCUUACUUCCUUUUGGUAUUCUUAUAGUUUCUACUAAACUGAUAUGAAACAUAGAAAGGAGACAAAAAACUCAUUGAAACUCUCCCCAUGAUUAAAGUGCUACUGACAUUACCGUCGCUGCUACUAAGGCAGCCUGGAUUCGAUUCGAGUUACCUGGCCCUCGAACUUGAACCUCCUUGAAUAGUGUUCUAGAUAAUGCCAUCAGAGAGCGCUUUCGUAGAAAGUGAGCCAGUGUACCAAGUCCUUGAAAUUAGCCAUUGUAGGCCUCCGCGUUGGCCCAGCCAGCAUAUAACUCAAACUCUUCAUGUGAAUGAAGAAGAAGCCCAGGAAGCUGCAUCCACUUUAGGAUGUCUCACCAGAUUCACCUGCUGCCGAUCUUACAUCAAGCGAUAGUACUGAUAUUUACCGAGUAUGAAGAAUCUCCGCUCAGAUCAUGGUGGGUUAGUCGGCUGGCUUCUUUUUGCAGAAUUCCAAAGUCGGAUAAAUGAAUUAGAUUGAGACUCAUGCGGCCAGAGAUGCAUCCAUCCCUCCCUUACUCUUUCUCCCUUCCUUAUUCUUUUAGUCUACCCUUUGCUUUGCUCUGCAUUUAAUAUCUUCUCUCAUCCCUUCAAUCCUCUGAUUCAGGAUACUAUACUCAAGAAUGAGCUGUGCUUGUAAAGUCAAGUUAAGAGAAAGAAGGGUUUAUUACUGCAAACAAAUCCAAUGGCCCAAGCAUACAAAGUCAAGUUGUUUGUUCUUCCAGUCUUGUUCUAGUGGAAUCGUGAGGAUCUUCUCUGUCGGUCAAGUCUCAAAGAACCAUAGGAGUAUUGAGUAUAUCAAAAGUCAUAUUACCUAACAUCCAGACUAGAGCUAAACAUUGCUUGUUCCAUUGUGCGUUAAGAAGUAACGUGAGCAAGGAAAGGAUAUAAGUCGAAGUACAUUAGCGGGUUCUUUUAAGUGCGUAAGUGAGCUCCGGACUACAGCUAACUGGAGUUUUUGAGUGUAAGGAAAAGAAUGGAAAGCAAAGGAAAGGCGAAGUAAGGAGCAGAGCCAAAUAGGUGUUUUUCUCCUUGAUUGGAGUUUUUGUAAGCAGUGUUCGGUUAAGGCGCAAGUGAGCGGACCUACUUAGAGAACCGGACUGCGGAAGAGAAUUGAGUGAACCUAGGAACUGCGCUUGGAAUAGAAUAUCGGCAGCUAGAGAACCAAUACCACAAGCUGGCUCUGACUAACGCACCAACACGUUCAGAAUGGAAUUGCAAUGAGACUUUCUACCCCUAGCUUUCGAUCUAUCCUUUCUUUAGACGGCUGUACAAGGAGCGUAAGGUAAGCGAGCUACAUCGGCCGGCCGGUCGAGUCGUUUAACGCUUGUUAACUACCCUCAUAGAGGGUGAAGUCUCCGAGUGUAGAGGUAUUACGACGCAAAAGGGGUCGUGUAUAUAGUCUCCCUUUCUGUCCCAACUCAAUAAGCUAAGCGGUCUACUGAAGUAGAUAAUUCCAAAUAGAUAUCAAGUGCACCACCUCUUAUAAAGUAAACAAACGGAAGAAGAAGACAGUGUUUCAACAACUACAGCAAGAGAUCGCGCGAAACUCAACCAGUUUAUUUGACCCUUUAACGAAGCAAUUCUGGAUUCUUGGAUUUGUCAGCGAAAUGCUACUUCACUUUGUUAGUUCAAUUCUGCCUUUAGAGUUUAGUUCGGGAAAGAAGAAAGGUACUUACACUUUGGAAGCUUCAGUAUCGGGUGCGAGUAAGGUAGUCUCAAGAAGAAUAAGGGUUCAAGUAUUCCGUCUAAAGUCAGUAAGCAAGUGGUUCUGUUCGAGAUGAAGGUGAUUUAUUGGCUUUCCCUUGUAGUGGUCGACUCUGGUUGCCCCCGGUAAGAAAUUGAAGGAAGCAAUGCGGUUGACUAACACUUCGUAUAUUGUGCAGAGAGAUUCAAUGAGUGGAACAGGCAAGGGUGUUUGUUAGCUUAUUGUUGCUUGUUUGCUUCAAAACUCUGUUAUUGACCCGAACUCAACGCGAAAGUCCUAUAAAAUACAAACGGAGUACUUAGCGCACCCAAUAGAUACUGUUUCCCGAUCCACGGGUUCCCGCUCUUGGGGCUACGUUGGACCACUACUCUACAAGGGAGGGAGAGCCAAGCACACCGAAGCUAUACACAAGCACCGAACCUAUACACAAGCACCGUUUCCUUGACUGAAUCCAGCUACAAGCACCGAACCUAUACACAAGCACCGAACCCAUAAAUAAUUCACAUAACUCAUGUUAGCACAACAUAUUACAAGACUCACUAACUGUUAGCACAAGUAAAUAAGCCCUUACUCAUGACUCAUAAUUAAGCUAAGCUAGAGGUAAGCCAUUACUGAAUUAAGCUAGAGACAGCCCCUAACUCUAUAUGUAUAGUACUUAAUGGAUUGUAUAGUACUUAAUGGAUUUCCCUUGCUUCUCAUCUUGUUCCUUUGCUUAAGCUAUAACUCUGUCUUUCUCCGCAGCUUGUUCACAUAUGACUCUCGGAGCUUGUUUACUCAACUCCAAUAAAUAGACUGUUUAUUUACUAGCAGCAUUACACUGUGCAGGCCCCUAAAACCACUGCUUACUGCUUACUCUAAGCUCAACCUUAAGCUUCCUUACUCUUACUCUAAGCUCAACAAUGGAAUGGAAUCUACCGAGCACACACCUGAUAGAAUAGAGUAUCCUCACAACACACCUGAUAGAAUAGAGUAUCUUCACAAACAAACGGACUUAUGACUCUAAAACGGACUGACUUAUGGAAUAGAAUGGAGUGCACCCUUUCUUGCCCGUCUUACUUGUUCUUUCGCACACUAACAAAGCACUGAACAAGCAAGCUUAGUGAAAUAGAAUAUAAUAUAAUAUAAGUUAACGGAGUCAUUAUAGCGUUAGCGAGUUAUUACUGCUGCCUCUAAAGAAUAUUCUAUAGUUGUACCCAUCCAUGAUGUAAUCAUAGUAAACCCCACAGCUAACUGCUUAUUUUCUAUUCAUUCCACAGCCUUAUGACUUAUUAUUUUCUAUUCAUUCCCUUCCACAGCGUUGUCACUUCUUAUUAUUUUCUAUUCAUUCCUUUCUAUGGGCUUGCUCCUGUAGCUGGUUCUCUUUCCUUUGGGGCGUGAACGAAUUAGUAAGAAGACCUCUGGAACUAAGAAACACUCCACUCUUCCUUGCCUUUACCGAGAUUAUUACCUUCCGACGCUCUCCCCCCGAGUUGUACUCUUAUGGCCCAACAACAUAAUGCGCGCUAAGUCAAUCAGUCACUUAAGUCAGUUCGAUUCGGUAAGCAAAGCAGUGAAAUGAGAUAAAGAAGCCUUCUGCGUCGGUUAAGCAUAUAAUAGCUGCUCUCGUUAGUAUAAAGAAGCUAGCUCUGCCUCCGCGUUGGUUAAGCAGUUUCAAGGUUCAGUAUCAAAUUAGAGCUCCCCCAAUUAGAUCCUCAUAUGCAAAGCCAAAGGAAAUGAGAUCUUCAUAUGCAAAGUCAAGAGAAAUAGUAACAAGACUGCUGACUGCAGUGAAAUAGGUUGGCUUUCAGCACCUUUAAUAAUAUCGGAUUUUAGACCAUUUCAUGAAAUAUAGGAUUAUAGACAUUCAUUAGUCUAGCGGUAAUAGAAGACUUGGGUCAGUAGGUCAACUAAUAAGGAAGACUUGGGUCAGUAGGCAAACUCCAAAGGAAGAGAAUAGAGUGGAUCAUAUGAGUUUGAGAGCGUGACUAGACUAGAAGUAUGAGUUUGAGAGCGUGACUAGACUAAUAUAGAAAUCCGUCCAAAAUCCACUAUCGUAAAAACACUCCUGUCCUCUGACUGCUUACUCCAAUAAGCGAGAGCGCAACGGCUUGUUACAUCUUUGUUAUGUACCUACUCAGUAAUGUAUGAACCCUACCUAUAUGCAUUGCUUCAAAGCAAACUCAGCGAAUUCAAUUGAAAUGAAUCUCACUCAAAACUAAUAGAAAACAACAAGGUAAUCUAACAACUAAUAGAAACAACAAGGUAAUCUAACAACUAAUAGAAACAACAAGGUAAUCUAACUAAAUGGCUUCCGUAGGCUCUAAAUCAUAUGCAUCUAAACUAGCUGGCCUGGCUCUGCAUUUAUUACUGCUCGCUCAUCACUGAUUACUGUUGGCUUGGCUCUUUCACCUAUUCCAGUUGGCUCUUCAUCACUGAUUACUGCUGGCUCUUCACCUAUUAUUGUUGGUUCAUCACUUAGCGGGCUCAACACCUAUUAAAGCAAACUCUCUUCAGCCUUACGAACUAGACAUUGCACAUUAGGCCAGAGGCAGAGGAACAGAACACUAGCGGCCCCGAAAACAGAAAUGGUUCGGUUGAAAGUGAUGUCGACUUGAAUCCGUUUGUCGAUGAGAAUUAAGCCUUCCUUCUUGCUUGUUAAGGAUCUGCUACUUAGCGAGGAAAUCCUGUUUCUGUUUGAGUGUUGUCUCCGACUACGAGAAAAGAUGCUAGAUCUGUAGUAAGAGAAUCCGCAGCAGCGAGAGGAGAAGCUGUGUUGCCUUGUGUUGGUGCAAGCGGGGGAGUAUAUAAGUCGUAAGUGAGAGUUUCAUCAACCAGAUCAUCUGCAAUUGGAAAGUAAGCUGCUAUGAAAGUUAUUGUCGACUCGAAAGAUGGCGAGAAAGCUGGGUCAGGUGCCUUACUCAAUGCGCGCGGUGUAUUUCAUACUUGUUUCUUUGCUUUGGCUUUGGGUGCUCAGUCUGGGUUUUCAAGGGUUAUGAAAGUCAGUCUGAAGUCAGCAACAAAGCAGAUCUUAGAUAAAGCCAAAUCCCAAAUAUGCAAGCAGCUUGAAUCGAAGAUGAUGGAGGGAAUAAGACAACCACUUAUUAGGAGGAAUCUCGAAGCAGUGAAUGGAGGAAGGCAAGGCUAUAGGAUUGAAUCCAGCCUAGAUGAAAAAAGCCUACUGCUAUCUAUUGAGAAACACACUUUUAGCUUACUACGGAUGGAGACUUCAAAGAGAAAGCUCACUCCACACAAAACGGAUGGAGACUUCAAAGAGAAAGCUCACUCCACACUAUAUAUAUUCGCCUGAACCCAUGGUGAACAUAGCUAACUUCCACUUCUGUGUCAUAUCGCUGGAAAUGUAAACCUUCCACUUCAACACACACCUAGAAGAAAGAUGAGCAGAGACCGGGCAGUUGAAACCGAUUUGGGGGACAGUUGACCUAAGACCUAUUCCCGAUUGCAAAAGGGUACUGUUUAGACUGGUGAGACAGUUAGACAUAUGACCGAAGAGUUGCUAACAAUAACAUAUAAUUGAGACAGUUAGACAUAUGACCGAAGAGUUGCUAACAAUAACAUAUAAUCUAUAUCAUUUCAUUGGAUUAAAUCAAAUAAUGAAAAGAAGGGAAUGCGAUGUGAGAUGGAUAAAGGGAUGGGGAACUGUUCAUACAUCACCCUUGAGGAGAAGUAACCUAUAGUCUGUAGUGAGUACUCAUUAGACCAAGUCUUAGAAGUCACAGCAGGAGUUUCGUCUUGAGGAAGGCCAAACUUAUAAGAUGUGAGAGCCAGGAGUUCAUCUUUGUAGCACUAGGCAUGAGAGGAAAGGAGACAUCUGACAAGGUUUCAUACUAAGUGAGUCUUGAACCAAAAAGCAAAUAAGUCUGAUCCAAAAGAAGAUGUUUACUAUUGUAGACUAGAACAUAUAAGAGAUCCAUACUGCGACUAGAACAUAUAAGAGAUCUAUACUUCCCUUUGUAUUGAAGACCAUAACCAAAGAAAAGACACUCUUUUGACCUAGGUGCAAACACGAUUCUGAAGCAAGCAUACUGAUUUGAAUAAUAAGCACAAGCAAAGAGGCGCAUGAGAGAGAGUAAGUCACAAAAGUCAAACUAUAGGUCGGGAUGGCUACGUUCUCUCUAUCAAGGAUAUAAUUUGCAUCCUUCCCCCCAAGCGUCAACAAUAUCUCUAUAUACCUGCAUGGAAAAUACAGCCCUUAUCAUAAGCCGACUUACGAGCUAGUCUAUAGUGGGCUAUAUCUCUCUAAGAAUAUAAGGCAAAAGGUGUUCCACCGACCAAAUCCAGAGCUUGUUCAUUUCAAUAGUGAAGAAAAUAUGCAAAUGCUCCGCCAUAUUGGUAACCGCCUUAAACCAGUCAAAACUUGCAUGAGCAAGCACGCACUAGAAAUACUUGGGUUUGAUUUCUUUAUUCAUCCUGGCAUGCAACGAAUUGACUUCUUUCUUUAGCCUAUAUCGCUUCUAUCCCGGAAAACGGGGAAAAGCCUUAGACGCUGCGCUAUGCGACCAGUGGGGAGCAGCCGAAAGAGCAACUGCAACAGAAGGAAGCAAUCGUGGACCGGACCUUCUUUUACCUUAUUGAAGCAAUCGUGGACCGGACCUUCUUUUACCUUAUUUCAUAAAAGCCAAGGAAGCCAACGUCCGUUUUGUCAUGGUUCCGGAAGCAAUAGAGGAAUAUUUUCCCAAUCCUAUGAAUUCUCGAAAGACAUCUCCCAAUCUCCGAUUGCCCACGCUCUAUAUCAGAAUUGUUGUAUUAACAAAGGAGCUGAAUGAAAUAUAAGAUGGCUCGUUUCCUUGCGUUGUGUGCCCCCGCUUCUGCUUGCUUUUCUUUGAAUUGUUCUAUUUCUGUCUUUUCUCGUGAUAGUUACUGCUCCACCUUUCGUUUUUAGGAGAAAGGUUCCCCGUGUUUUUAUAAGAGUAUCAUCCUAUCCCUUCUUUUGGGAGGGCCACGGAAACCAUACCCUACUAACCAUACUAUCCGAAUACCAUCCACAGAGGUAGGAAAGGGUGACUCUAUUGACACGGCUUGACUUGAAAGGAGAGAGUUUCGAAGGUAGACCGUGUAGCUCAAUCGAGAGGAAUCAAAUCGAAUAACAGAAUAGAAGCUAGCAGAUGCGAUAGUUGCAACAGAAGAAAUGAGCAAUUGCAAGAGAUUCGCUAUCGCCCGGUAGUGCCUUUUAAAUGGGUUUCAAGUCGAGGGCUAGACGGACUUCUAAGGAAUCUUGUAAUCAUUCUCCUCGAGCAGGCAGAUCCAUACUUUUAUCACCCAGGUUAACGAGAACUACAUAAAGAAGGUUGCAUACGGUCCUUUCGACCUAUAGGAGGUUUGGAUACAAGUUUGCGUUUCCAGCUUUAUGACGAUGUCAGACCUUGAUCUAGUUUCCGUUGUCAUUGCCAUCCUUUGAGCAAACAAAUAGAUAGGCAGUAGACUAAGGAAUGAAGGGAAUACACCGAUUGGAAUUCCUUUUCUGGUACCAUUCCCCACAGCUGCUGCAUCUGAUGCCUGUCUCGGUUCGGUUAGCGAAGCUGGUGUGUAGUGACUCGUUGGGACUCUGGGCUAUCAGAGUGGGGCAUUCCACAUGGGAGGAAGGGGAAGUUUGCCUGGGCUCUGCCGCGCAACACACACUAAGUUGAAGCUCUUGCCGCCGAACACAGGACUUAGUAGUUCCUUGGCUGAUAGCUAAUAGUAGCCGGACCAGAGUUAGAUUAGAUGAGCAAGAGGUGUAGUUAGGCGAAAUUAGGACUUUGAAAUAACACGUUCUAAUUGAUUUCUGACUUGCUAUGUGCUCUGGAGCCUAAUUCAGCAAGUACGAAUUUCACUCCCUUAGCGAAAAGGAGGACAAACUCUCUAAAGGAAGAAACAGAAUCUGGUCCAGGUAAAGUUUCAGUGGAAUCCCUAGAUUGGGUAGUGACAGACCCUAACUUCAACAUGGGCAUUGCAAGUAUGAGAUAUUUACUUAACCCCGGGGGCAGGGCUCUGGACUGCAAGACAAGAUAGUAGGGUUGAAGCAAACACAAGUACGGCUGUGAUCCCUCCUCGCACAUAAGGCUUGGGCUACACAAAGUAUCAUUCUGGAAAUCCGGUUUUUCUCUCGUCUUCCCUUGUUUCGUUCUUUUGUUUGUUGCGCGUUUUUCUUCUUUUGAGUAUUGGUUGACCCGCUAGGUGCUUAACUGACUAUUCUGGGUUCCAUUCUUGUUAGCAGCAGUUAUAGCCUAUUUGACGGCUGCUCUAUUCUAAUAACUAGUAGUUGGAUGCACUGGACCGUAUCCGUAUUCCUAUGUCCUAGCUCAGUUCCUGUCAGCAGUGAUUUGAUCCUUACUAUAGCAGUGGGUUUAGUUUCACAGUUCGUAGUGGAAUUCCUGUUAGUAUUGAUUGAUUCCCCUUUGCCAGUUAAGGUAUUGUAUUGGAGGCCCUAGUAUAAGUAUGAGUUCCGAGCCUUAUGCUUGUCCGUAUUAGCUCAAGGUAGAGUUAUGUGGUUAAGUAUGGUAGGCGGUAGGGGGCUUGGUCGGAGUGGGUUCAAUUACUAGUUAGCACCAGAGGUCUUAGAAACACUAGUGGAUUUCUUUAUUAGGAUUAGAAGCACUAAGGGAAGAGUGAAAGAUAGGAUAGUUAGAGUUAGAGCAAGAAAAGGUAGGCUCAAACUAAUACAAGUCAGGAUCCAAUGCCGUAUUACAGGAAUGGAAGACAUUAGGGGUAUAGUUAGUAGUUGAAGAGUGAAAUAGAUAGACAGACCUCUGGAAACUGCUUCUCAUCGUUCUCCUGCUAAUUAAGUAGAUCCUUCUCUCGCAUCUGAUCUCGUCUCCUUUCCGUUAGCGCCGAGGAAAACUUAUUAGCUAGAAGCUCUGGUUCAUAUAGGUUAAACAAUGAGAAAGAUUAAGUGACAGCCAACACCGAGUGGAGUAGUGUCAUUAUAUAAGCGGGAGGACGUUGCUUGCUCAUAGCAUCGAUCGUAUAGAAAAGUCUAAUAUUACCACACGCACACUAUCAGAUUGCUUAGUAUCUCCAUCCCCAUCUUCUCUCGGAGACAACACUCGAACAGAAACAUCAUUAACAAGCAAAGCUUCUGAUCUUAUCGACUUGGGCCGAUCACCUCCUUAUGCUUCUCGACUCUAACCUCUCCAUACUGAUUUACUUAGGUAGGGCUAGGGCAUCAAAGGCUGUCGAACCCCAAAGAGUAGAUUCUACCAAUAGGGUGGAUUCCACCAAUAAGGUUGAUUCUACCAAUAAGGUUGAUUCUACAUAUGGAUCUUGGUAAACAAACGACUUCUCUUUUGCUUCAAAGCUAAUACAAUACCUUCACCCGGCCUUAUAGUAAUUCGCGUUAGCACAAAAGAAGAAACCGGGAAUGGAACAAGCGCCAACAGAGACUUUCCUGCUCCGGCUACUGAUUACCUAGCUCUAUAUCUGGGCUCUCCCUUAGAAGAUUCUUCCUCGACCUAAACUCUCAAGUGAGAACUACUUCAUUGAAUAUCUCACGAUUCCACUCGAACAGUCCCUUUCAUUUCAACCCUGCCGCGACACCCGAACACAUCUUCAGUAAUAACCACUAAUAAAUAUACUACAUGUAAGUUGAUUAUUCUAGUUUGAUUUGAGUGUCUUGGCUGAGUGAAAGGCUGACUUUAGUAGUUUCAUCCCCUUGUUACCAAUCCUAGGAAAGAAAUUAGUUGAAGCAGAAUCGAAAUUCUUAUAUACCGAUAAUGCCCAAUUCCAAUCACCCGUUAAAAGAAAGGGAGAUGGAAGGGAUUUCAAAUGGGUAUAGGUUGGCUGAGAGAGAGAGAGCACAGAUGAGGGUAGAGGGCUGCGGACAUAGAAAGAAAAAAGGGCAGCCACUAGAGAGGAAAGAGGAUAGCGGAAAGAGAACAAUGAUAUAGGGUACAGGGUGGAACAAUGAUAUAGUCUGGGGCAGCUCACAGAGAAAGCAGAUGAUAGGGCACCCGACAGAGAACAAAGGUCUUUUCGAAAGGAAAGGAAAGUGGAAGUCCAGAGAAAAGCAGAGAUAGAGAGAGGGCGGGUAAUCAAGAGAAGAGAUAGAGGUUCGUCGUUCAUGGCGUUAGUCCAAUGUUAAUAUCAAACCUCCUGUUUACCUUCCCUUGUUUCAUCUAUUAAGUCGACAUCGACAAGAUCUGUAUAUGAGGCAGCAAGCGGGUGGUAAUAUUCCUCUACCAUGGAUACUUUAGCUCGAAAGAGUGGAAUCAGUUCCUAAAGUUUCACAGGAGCAGUUUCAUCAGUUAGUAGAGCAGGAGCAGAAAUCCAGGAUAGUUCUUUAGCUAAGCAAGAAGGAGUGAAGUCAACCACCCUUGUUUCAUCCCGAGUUGCCAGUACAGGCCCAACAGAAUAAGUUAUGCCAGUGGAAUACCAAGUGGAAUCCGUUCUAUUAUAUAAGAUGUCAUUUACAAAAGAUCAGUGGUCUAGCUUUGUUUCAAUUGAAAGAGAAAGAAAGGGCAGGGAAAACUCCUUAGCAACUAGGCCUUAGCAACAAGUAUUGAUUUGACUCCGCGCUUCCAAGACUAUUGAACUCAUAAGAAACAACAGUAAGGGAAUGGAUAUGACCAAUAGCAACAAGGCAUCUAAGACAACUCAGUAUAUAACUUCACUCCUUAGCUACAUUGCUUCCAAGACUAUUUCAUAAGCCACUAAUAGGCAAGUCAGUAUUAACUCAGUAGCUACAGAAGCAACUAAUAGGCAAGAAAGAAUAUAGCUACUUAGUAUCCAUAGCAACAAGGCCUUAGAUAGCUCUUACUGAGCACUGGUAUAGAAACUACGUAAAUACUGGCAAACUGGCCUAUAGAGUUCACUGCUCGCCAACUAAUCUAGGUCUUCUUUUUGAUCCUCUUUCUCCCAUGCUUCCUGUAUGACCAAUCCUUUUCUGGUUUGACUUAUGGUUUGUAUGGCAGCUACCACUGUACCUCCAUUAAUCUUAAGGGUUACCUUCUUCUCUACAAUGUAGUAUUUACUAUCAUCACCCUAACCCCGCGGAGAGUCGAUCCACUCUUCUAGCUUGGAGGUUUCCUUCUGUGUGUAUGUUAAGUCCAAAUUGUUAGACACCUUUCACCCUUCUAUAUGAGCUUGUACCGGCCAUGCCGCAUAAUAUGCCAUGGCUUUCAGCUCCUCUAAGUCAACUCCUUGAGUAUCCUGCUCAGUGAGUUUAAGCCAUGCUUGGGUGUCAUCGGUUGCCUUCUCCGGCAUGAGCCCAAUACUGAAAGGUCUCCACUGCCUCUGGUAAGUAUGAAUUCACUUCCAUAGCAUCCCCUCUUCUUUCGGCAGCUCUAUCUUAAACUGCUUGGUGCUUUUUAGAGGUACGAAGGCAAAUUCGAAGAGUGAUAGGUUCUCACCGUAUGCACGAUCUACUGGUUCCUAUGCAAGACGAUUGGAGCACACUUGAUCUAUACCCCCCUGAGUGUUAAAGUGUAUGUACUCAUGAACAGCUAAAGCGCUCUUGGCUACCUUGCAAGCAACUACUGCUUUAAAGCUUUGUUUACUAUCAGUAGUGAGUAUUGCCCUAUCGCCCGGCUCUAUUAGUCUCUCUUCAUCUCCGAGUUCAUAUGCUUUCCUCAUUUCGUCGAUUAUUCGUGGAGGGUUUUCUUUCCUUAUGCGCAUCUGUAUCCUGGCAUACUCCUCAUUAUAUCCAAUGGGAAUGCUUUUGGCCUGCUCCCACUGCACCCCUUUCUGGGCGAGCCUCCUCUGUAUGCAUCCCCACUGCGUUGCAAUGAUCCUUUCCGGCUUUAAUGAGGGUAUCCAGCUGGUGAACCGUAACCUCAUGAAUCUUUCGUGUCUCAGCGUGAUAUGCUCUUUGGCUACAAUAAUACUAAAACACUGUAGAGCUUUAUCUAUCCGUUGAGCUAUUUCUUAUCUAGUUAUUGCAGUUCUCUCCUUGUUGGCAUCAGCUCUGGAUAAGGUUAAUCAAUUAUACUUCCUGAAAUUGGACUUCUUAGGAGUUUUAUCCGCAGAGUUGUUCAUUGCCUGCACAUCUUCUGUUCUUCUGAGCUGGUCUACUACACAAGUUAUUGAGCUGCUUUCCUGCGGCAGCUCUCGCGUGAUAUUCCCCUCGUUACAAUUGGUAGGCUCGUUUUACUUACUUUGUUGACUUACUUGUUAGGGUCGGGGAAAUUAGUAGAUUCCCACUUGAGAGAAAGAGUACUGUACUAGGCUCAGUGUUACCGGAUUGGAUGGAUUCUAUCUUACCUGCUUGUGAGUGGAAUUCUUAGGGUUAGAUCAGAUCCCUUAGUUUCACAUUCCAUUCUCAAUUCCUUAUUUAGGGAAAGAGCAUGUAGGUUAGGAAGAAAGAGCGAGCAAGCAACGAAACGGUCAGUGCUUAAAGAGUUUAGGUUUGAAAUAAGUCCUAAUUCCGCAAGUCCUGUUUUUCGCCAAAACAGUGUAGGGCCCUGCGUAGCGAUCACUGAACGAUUGAUUCCAAUUAGAAUUAGACUCUUUCAUUAUGAUGGAUUAUUAUACUCUUCAUUAUGAUAGAAUAUUCUGGGUUCUUGGAUUAUAUAGAUGGUGGUAACAAUGAAGCGGAUUCUGAAUCUUCACCUUUAAAAACAGUGGUUUAGACCUUACACGGACCUUCAUGCCGCAUCUCAUCUAUGGCUUAGUCUAGUCCUUACUAUCUUCCUUUCCCUCUUGAGUUUCAAUGCUCAGCUAGAUUUCCACGUGAAGCCGUGCUAUACGGGUCAAAUUCCAGAAAGACUGGAAGGAAAUAGGAUUGAAGACAAUCAUCACGGUGUUUUAGAAAUACUAUUUCAAUUGACGUCUAUUAGAAAGAAAUACUAUUUCAAUUGACGUCUAAUAAAGGAAAAAGAAAAAGGAACUUUGACCGCUAGGAGAAAGGUAGCUCGACUGUGACAGCGGCAGCAGAGGUUUUUCUAUGAGUGAGUACCCGGGGGUUGGAUCCAUGCAGUCGAAGAUCACUUAGAUUAGGACUGCUUCAAUUGGAGACAAAGUAUCUUUACAAGGAACCUUAUUCUUCAAUCGGCUGGAUCAACAUCGAAUCACUGAGUAGUUACCACUGGGCCGACAUCAUAUUCUAACGGUAUGCUUCCUGAUGAAGAGCAGCGCUCGCUUUCAUAAUGAAUGAGACUAAAAGAAAGGAGCUCUGGACUCAAACUCUUUAAGCGGAGGCAAAUAGUCGAACAGGUUCGCAUGCAUAGAUCCCCAGCUAACUCCAAAGAAGACCUAGUAAUUAGUUCAUCAAUUCUUAGAGAAAUUCAAGGUAUAGGCUCCAUCCGAAAAACACUCUUUCUUUCAUUAAUGGCAAUGCAACUCCAUGGGCUUACCCUUGAUGAUGCUUAUGCAAUUGAAGAACGAGCUCAAGAUAUCGAUAUCUUAGAUAGGAUAGCAACUCCCAUGUAAUUGGUUGAAUGUGCCAAGACGGGAACUAGUGGUCUGCUUGCCAAGCCUGUAGCAAGUGGGCCUGUGAUGCUUACUUUCAGAAUGUAACUAGUAGGUACAAGGCUUGAACCGGGCAGCUAAGGUCUCUAACAACUAACUCUAAGCCUGAAAGCAAGGGUAGCCAGUAAGGGUAUCUAUUCUCUGAUGAGCUAGGAGAACUAAGCCUAGGAAUAAGGAAUUGAAGAGCUACCGAGCGACUACUAGAGUGGAAAGGUCACUUUAGUGCUAGUCUAGUCAAGUUGACAUAGGUAUUAAUGAAGCAACUAAGAAUAGGGUAUGAUAAGAGGGAUAGAUCUAGCUACUAUUAGCAUUUUGAUAAAAGAGGAAAUGGGGCAAGAGUGAAAAGAGACUUACUGUUCUAGGUAAAGUAUCAAGUUUCGUUCCAGCAGGUAAGCAGUGAGUUUCAAAGGUGUUAGGUAUAGAAUGAGUCAAUAUUCUCACUUACAUAUAUAAACAAGCAUGAAAUGAAAUGCGGAUGGUUAGGAUGCUGGCGCUAAUGACUAAGGCUUUCGGGGCCCUUAUUGUAAGUUUGCUCAAACAAAAGCAGUAGGGUCGAACAAAUGACUUUUGGAUGGGUAGGCUCGGGAAGCAGUUCAUAGUUUACAGAGAGGAGCAAGAUCAGAGGAAUCUUAGGGAUCAGUAUAAGUAGAAUGCAAUGCAGCAGGAUCAAUCAGGUCCAGACUAAGCUGAAAGAGAAGGGUACACAUAUAGCGCAUGAAACUAUCAAGUCAGAAUUGAGUAUUGAACGGAAACUCUCUAAUUAAGGAAUACACCUAAACCCUCUGUUCCCGUUAGCCCGGAAUUAGAUGGAACUGAUUUCACUGAUGUUAAUGGCGGUAGCAUAAGUAGGAAGUAGCCAAGCAACGACUAAGUCCUUUGUUAGAGGCUUUGAAGCGGGUAUCUCGGGCGAAAGUAAGCUACCGGGCGAAAGUCUGCUACCAUUGCAAAUAAGACCGACCCUGCUAACUCGGAAUACAGAUGCAGAAUGAACUGUUCUGGUUCUAAAGUCUGGUGAGGAGAGGUAAGCUAUGAAAUUGUAGUGGAGAGUAGCUAGCCUUAUUCUUGUUGGUAGAAUAGAAGUAUAGAGGUCGGGGCGGGGAAGUAGGAAUAAGAGAAGAGUCGAGGUAGUCAAGCUAGUCCAGAGGCGAGGUCGGAAAGUGUAGUUUCGAGUAGCUAGUCCUGUAGUGGGCGAGAGGGUAGUUGACUUACCGGUAGUGAACUAAAGAAUAGUGUGGACUAAGUAGAGGCCAGGUCAGGUCGAGUGGAAGACCUGUAGUACUGUUCUGGUUCUAAAGUAAGGUCUAGGUCCGAAAGUAAGAUAGAGUUAGUUCGGGUCGGCUGGUUUACUUACUUGUUAGGGGCACUGGUUUCGGUCUGUCCAGCACUGGUUAGAGACCCUAACUUCAUGAAGAUUGGCUGUGGAUUCAGUUGUUUUCUUAUAUAUAAUGAACCGCCAAGACACUACUAAUGUGGCGCGGUAGCGAGCGGGAAAGCGUCAGCAAUAAAUAAGUAGUUAUAACAUAGUUAUAACCAAGUCCUUAAUCCAGCAUGGCGGUAGCGCUGUUCUCCCUCCAAAGAAGGGCUCAGGGUUACAGCCGCGGAAAGAAGCCCAACUCCAUUAAUGUGCCCAGCUGCGCCAGUCUAAAGUAUAAUGCUACUUAAGCGUGUGGUGACUCCUCCUUCAUUUCUAUCAUAUUUGAACUUAUUGAACUUAUUCAUAACUAUUAAGGACUGUGACUUUAACACAUGAACUCUUUCUAACGCACCCCGAACUCCCUUUAACAGACAGAGACCUUUUGUCCUGCUCGAGCUUUGUAGUAAAGUGGAGUUUUGUACUGUUUCAAGUGAAGUAUAAAGAAGACAGAAUGCGAAUGCCCAGCUUAAUGCUAAAGGCCCCUACUUACUUAAUACGCAAAGAAAUAAGUGUUCUCAUAGAUAGAAGAAGCGGUUAAGGCCCACUACAUGCUUCAUGCUAAAGUAUCAAGGAACGGUUGCAAAGCAAAGGGAAGGUAAGGGAAGGGAAGGUAAAGCCAAGCACUACAAGGGGCUUAAGAAGGACAGCCAUCAUCAAAGUCAAGUUCAAAAGAAAAAGGUUAGAGCUGCUCCGUUAGCGCAAGUCAGGUCAACAGAGAUGAAAUAUAUGAACAAUUCAAUGAGAACUUUCGAGUGGAGAGUCCUGAGUUAAGGGAAUAAUAAAGCGCAAGCAAGUCAGCAACAAACGGUUUGGUUUGAAUGGAGUACACAGUUUUCGUUUUGUCAACGAGAUCAUCAGUUGUGCGGUAUCCAAAGUGUCUUACGCGAGUCCUUAUUUAGACAAAAGCAUUUCAACAUUAGGGGGCUUUAUAGGGAAUUAGACAUAAGAAGAGUUUUACAUGGGUGUUACGACGAGAAUGGCCAUAUUGUCUUUCUUUCUGUUCGAGGGAAGUCGUAGAGAGAAGAAUCCGCUGCUCCUCACGCGCUUGUUAAAGAUGCAAAUGCCUAUAACGGUAUAGAAGAAAUAAGUAAUAGGAUACCAAGAUUGAUUCUCUUUUCACAGUCAUAUGAUACCAAACCCAUGAUUCUAUUUGAGUGAAAAACGAAGAUGCCAUCGAUUCUUAAAAGCCGAGAAUAAGCGGUUCUUGUGUUGGCAACGAGAGAAGAAUAGCCGGUGCGAGGAAAGGAAACUCUAGAAUGGAAUUUACAACUAGUACGGACGCCAUGUUUCAUUGGAAAACUCCUCCUCUGGCAAAUGACUGAUUGCAACUAGGAACCAAUCGGACUUGAAACUUGCAAUAUAGUAGGGGAGCGCAUUAACCACAAAGCAAAGUAGUAGCUUGUUCAGUGCAAAGUCCAAAGUGAGAAUCGAAUUGAAACUAAUCUAUCUCGCAACUCAUCUAUCUCCGCAACUAAUAGAAUUGCUCUAUCUAACCUCAAAGCUAGUUCUUUCGCCGCUGCUUGUUGAAUCCUCAAUGCUUCCAUUUUGUCCGUCUAUACCAAACCUCAUUGCGCUUGUUCCGUAGCUUGGACCACAACACUACAAGGUGAAGGUUAGGCUUGAACUAAAUCUUUCUAGUCGUUUAACUUAUGCCUAUGCCUCUGUUCCACUCCUACUAAGCAAAGCGCUAAUAAAUAGAAUAGCUCACUUCAGUUCAGGGGAUAGAAUAGCUCACUUCAGUUCAUGGGUCAAAGGCAAAACAAGGUCUUUGCGAACCCUUAGCUUAGUGCCAGCUCUUGGGCAAACAAAGUAAUCUCCAGUAAGAAAAGAAUGACAUAAAGAAGAAUAAGUAAACAUAGUAUAGAAAGAAAAAGGUAAUAUAACUCUCCAGGACAACCGCUACGUCCCUUUCUUUUGCUUCAAAACGACACACCCACCGUUUGACUUGAAUAGAAGAUUCGGCACCCGUUAAAGUGCACUUAGUCUUUAGAACUUCCUAACACGCGAGCUACUUAACCCGGGGUUGCUUGUUCAUCUCGCACACAGGAAUUUCAACACCACUCUGUUAGCGCAACUCAUUCAUCUCAAUUGGACUUUCUCGCCUAGUAAAUAAGAUAUGAUGAUUUUGAGGAAUAUCUCUGAUGAAUCUUACUUGCGCCUGCAUCCUUACUGACCCGACCUUAACUCUAUCACUUGUUCUUGCACCGCUAUCCCAAUAGACUAUCCAGAUGGAGCUUGCCAUUCCUAUGUCUUUACUUACCGCCUGCCUUAUCUAAGUCAUUCCCAUCCGACAUUCCUAUGUCUUUACUGCUUUAUAUAAGUAAUUCCCGUCCGACAUUCCUAUGUCUUUACUGCCAGAGAUCGGAACCUAACUAUCCAAACUCUAAGUGUUGGAGGGAAUGAAAUGAUCGAGUAAAAGCUGUUUAGCGGUGGAAGUAGGCUUGUAAUAACUUAGUCGUGUCCUCUUGCUCGUGAGCUUGGCACAGGUUGCUCUUAUUGAGGGGAAGGGCUUUGAAGCGGGG
rnacentral:lncRNA from 1 species